rnacentral:rRNA from 1 species
GGAAUAUUGGGCAAUGGACGAGAGUCUGACCCAGCCAUGCCGCGUGCCGGAUGAAGGCCUUCUGGGUUGUAAACGGCUUUUCUCAGGGAAGAAAAAGGGUAUGCGUACCAAACUGACGGUACCUGAGGAAUAAGCACCGGCUAACUCCGUGCCAGCAGCCGCGGUAAUACGGAGGGUGCAAGCGUUGUCCGGAUUUAUUGGGUUUAAAGGGUGCGUAGGCGGCUUGUUAAGUCCGGGGUGAAAGCCCACAGCUCAACUGUGGAACUGCCCUGGAUACUGGCAAGCUUGAGUCCAGACGAGGUUGGCGGAAUGGAAGGUGUAGCGGUGAAAUGCAUAGAUACCUUCCAGAACCCCGAUUGCGUAGGCAGCUGACUAGGCUGGUACUGACGCUGAGGCACGAAAGCGUGGGGAGCGAACAGGAUUAGAUACCCGAG